AAUGGUCGGAAGACUGAUCCAGCCAUGCCGCGUGAAGGACGAAGGCGCUCAGCGUUGUAAACUUCUUUUGGAUGGGGAUAAUAGGCUCGAUUUAUCGGGUUUUGAAGGUACCAUCAGAAUAAGCACCGGCUAACUCCGUGCCAGCAGCCGCGGUAAUACGGAGGGUGCGAGCGUUAUCCGGAAUCACUGGGUUUAAAGGGUGCGUAGGCGGCGAGGUAAGUCAGUUGUGAAAUUCCCCGGCUUAACCGGUGGGACUGCGAUUGAUACUGCUUUGCUUGAAACAGGUUGAGGUAAGCGGAAUGUGGCAUGUAGCGGUGAAAUGCAUAGAUAUGCCAUAGAACACCGAUUGCGAAGGCAGCUUGCUGGGCCUUGUUUGACGCUGAGGCACGAAAGCGUGGGGAGCAAA
rnacentral:rRNA from 1 species